GUCCAGGGGCGGGAAUCGAACCCACAACGUUCCGCUUACCGGGCAGAUGCCAUGUCCACAAGCUACCCUGGA
rnacentral:tRNA from 1 species